UUGUUGGAAUUGGGGUUUUUUUUUCUCUCUUGACACAAUUUUGCUGCAAUAAGGUAACAUCACCUGGUGUGUCCUCACAACCACAACAGGAUGCAGCUGCCUGUCACAGAAUCACAGUAUACCAAAUCUCCGUCAAAGCAACAUGGAAACCACUAAAUACUACACAGAACUAAAUCUAUCCAUCAAUGGCUCUGGUUUCCAAAUAAAAUGACGCAGUAUUUCUGAUUUCAGUGGGGAGCUCACUGUACGCAUUCUAACUCAAUGUGAUAAUAACAAGGAACAGGAGGUGUUGCUUGAGUUAAGUCUCUGAGCUCACAGCACUCAUCAUCACAUCAUGAGACAGAUAAAUGUAGUGCAUCAUUAAUUCAAACCUAUGAGUGACAUUAUAUUCAGACAAUACUCUUGACUAAACCUGCAAAUGAUGAUGCUAAAUAAUGAUGACAUAAUUCAACUUAUUAGUUGAACAUAAAAAUAAGUCUAUUAUUUUAUUAAUUGAUCAACAAUUUAAAAUUAACUUGUCAAAAAGACAAAAAAGCACAAUUUUAUAUUGUUCCAAAUUCUCAAUGUAAGGAUUUGCUGCUUUUUCUUUUUCUCAUUUCCAUUAAAACAAUGCUAAUGGAUAUAAAUAGCUGUACAUUCAAAUUUAAACUGCUGUUUCUUGUUUAAAUCAGAUAUGAUCUUAAUCUGAACAGUUCCAAAUUAGUCUGAAUUGAUGGAAAUAUGAUUUUAGGUGGAAUUAAUCUUGAUAAACAGAAAGGCAAAAUGGACAUGUUUAAAGUGUUUCAAGGUCCAACUUAAUAUGGAUUUAAUCCACUUCAAACCAGAUGUUAUCAUUUUUAU